rnacentral:lncRNA from 1 species
AGCAGGCCGAUGACGUGCACGCGCACGAAGGCGGCGUUGUUGGGGAAGGCGCCGGGCCCCUUGGCGGCCACGUCCCACAGCGGCGCCUUAACCACGUUGGCGUCCAGGAUAGUGAACAGGUGGUGCAGGAUGCGCGCCUGGCUCUUGAAGCCGGGCUUGUGGAAGGAGUCUGCAGUAAGACACGCGGGCACAGGCAUAACCGCGUCAGGCAUCAGCGCCCAGCCACCAGACGAGCCGCUCGAGACGCAUCGCAACACCCUGCUAAGCACUUGCAGUGUUUCCUGUCAGCGCCGCUACAGCUCCUAGUCUGCCGUGCUGUAGCCCUAGCCCUAGCCCCCCGGCCGCUUACCCGUCAUGACGGCCAGGAUCUCGUUGAGCAGGUGCAGGUAGUAGGUCUGGUGGAACUGCGUCGCGUACUCAGAGCCGGCGAAUUGCACCAGCAGGUCGUGCAGCAGCGCCAGGCCCGUCUCCGCCACGUUGCGCUCCGUGUGCCGGAACGCCCAC